CCAAAUCUUAACCUUGAACUUGCUCACAACCACUUGAGAAAUCAUUAUAUAAGAUGAGGGGUACAUGUUUGUUGUAUUAGCCGAUGCAGGACUCCUAAAAGCUAAGAGGAAAAGGAAACGUGUAACUUGUUGUAUAGAUGAGGAAUAUGGCAGAGCUUUCAUUUGGGCACCAAUGUAGGAUGGUUACGUCAAGAAUAAGACUCAAACUAUAGACAUUACUCAUAAAGACUUAACGUUUUAAUCAGAGACAACUUAUGAUGAAAUUAGAUAAAUUUAAUAGAUACAUAAAAUAUAUUUUUUAAAACUUUAUUCAAAUUGGUUCGGUUUAGUUUUAGUGGGCCGGUUUCUAAUACACAAACCAAACCCAAACUGAAUUUUUCGGAUUCAAAAAAUCAGAACCCAAAAGUGGUGGUUUGUGUUUGAUUUCGAUUUUUCGUUUUUGGUUUUGCUCGACCCUAAUGUAAGUUGAAAUAAAUAGAUAAUAAACAUUGUUAUCAAAGAAUUUAGCUUCAUUAUGUGUUUAGAACAUGAGUUAUUGAUCGUUGUGGAACUAAUCAAGAAACGCUAAUACGUAAUAAUAUGUAGUUCAUGUUAGAUUUAUGAACAUUACAAUUAAUUAAAAAUGAUGUAAUACAAGUGUGGGUUGAUUGGUAGUCUUUGUAGAGUAGAAUGCUUAAAUUGGACUCAACAUCCAAAGUUUGAUUUUAUUUCAUGUAUGUUGGUAGUUACUCGGUUUAACACUAUACUUUUUAAACACCAUUUUAUAUUGAUAAAAAUGUGUUUCUACAAAAGUUUUUCAACAAUUAUCAGAGUUUAUAACUUUUCAAUGUUACAAUCAAUAUCAACAAAUAUAGUGUAAGUUGAAAGGAUUACUAAACCUUCUUUGUUUCCUUUAGUCAUUUUCACUAUCUUCGCUCUUCUCUUCCGCUUCCACACCUAAGUACAUAGCACAAACUAUGUAAGUCUGAAGACUCAUGAGUUACAUGAGUUUUUAACUCAACUUUGAUUUAUUAUUAAGGAAUUUUACUUUGUUUUGUAGAGACUUUAUCACAUAAAGUCCUAACAAAAAUGAUCCUAGCACAUAGGGCCAUGGAAAAACAAAUCAAUCGGAGGCUAGUAGGAACCAUGUCCAUCCCGAUGUUGAAUCACUGUUGCCUGAUACCCUACUUCCUCAUUAAGCCCAUGUUGCUUCACGCAAGCCUGCCACCAUAAAUCUCAUCAAAUUCAUGCCGCUACAUGGAAACAUGCAACUGUGAAUCUCAUCAGACCCAUGUUGUUACGUGAAAUCCUGGAACUGUGAAUCUCAUCAGAUCUAUGCCGCUACAUGAAAGCCUGCAACUAUGAACCUCGCCCGAUCCAUGCCGCUACAUGAAAUUCUGACACUAUAAACUUGUAAGGCAAUCUAAUCCUUUCACGAACGCUCUCUAUAAAGCUUCAAACUUUCUUUAUAUAGUUUGUUCUUUUUAUCAUUCUCUACAAUAUAGAGGCAUAUGACGACAUCUAUUUCAUGUAGCUUUUCAUUAAGCUUUUAGCACAAAUUCACACUCAAAACAUUUAUCAUACAACUUUCCCCGCAAAGCUCAUAAUAAAUGUAUACACAUAUAAGCUUCUUGCCUAUAUAGCAAAUAACCAAACAUACAGGCAUCUUGCCAGUGACUCAUCUAGUCCUAUGCAUAGUGUAAGUCCAUCCUACGAGCCAUGUAGUGUCGCAAUAUUUGUUGACUUUUGUUAACUUUUCUUUAAUGAUAAUGUACAACCUAUCUCAACUUUCGAUGACCAUAACUUUCUUCUACGAACUUAGAUUUUAACGGUCUUUAUAUCCGUGAAACCGUCACGGGUCGAACUACGAAUUUCUUUUAAUAAGCAUUUGCUAAUAACUUAUACAUUUUUCAUUAGUCAUUUUCUUUAAAAGUAACAAUUUUUCAGUCGUUACACUCAGGCUAUAUAGAUUUAGGUCCCGUUUGAUAGUUGCUGACUGAGAAAUAGCUAACUCGGAAAUGUCUGUCUGGGUAAGAAAUUUCGACCGAGUAAGAAACUAUGUUGUUUGAUUGUACAUCUGACUGAAAAAAAUGACCAUUUAACCCUUCUUCUAUAUACAAUGAUGAAUGAAGUUGCUGAAAAAUUUAAAAAACAUACAAAUUGUCAUAUAAAAUGUAAAUUACACACAAAUCCUUUAAAAUUCCAAAUAAAAAUUAUAAAAGACAUCAUUGUUUUUAUAAAGUUAUAUGAUAUGUAUUUCAAAAUGAGAAAUGAAUUUUAAAGGAAUAGAAAUUUACAUGAUAUGUAGACGUACAAUUGGUUUUCAUUGCGCAAUCUAUCAAACACAUGCUAUACAUUAAGAUGAUUAAAUAUAAAAGAAAUCCAUGUGUAAUAAAUCAACUAAAUGUGAACCAGUCAUGCAUAUUGAAAUCAAGAAUAAAGAAAUAGUUCUUGAUUAAAAUUUAUGAGGAAUAAUCAAAGCGCAUAGGACCAAUUAUCACUUCGUCAUUUACCAUAUCCAAUACAAAGCACAUGAAUUGAUUUCAUUAUCACAUAAUCUAAUUCAGCACGUCAAUUUUGACUUUUUAUUUGACUUUUGGAUUUCAAGAUCAGAACUCCAAGGCUUAAAUCAGGCGAUUCAAUAGCAAAAUAAACAUUCAAGAGCAAACAAGCAGCACAAAUCAAAACUUUCUUAUUCAGAUUUUCAAAAAUCAAGAGCAUAAAUCGGAACAUUUAAUAGCAAAAAUCGGAGCAUUCCCAGAAAUCGGAGCAUUCAAGUGUACCUAUGAGAUGAGGAAGGAGCUUCGAUCGGUGGGUGGAAGAGGACAAAUGGGGUCGACGAUGCUUGCUGGUUGGGGAGAAGAAAGGAGUUGUUGAAAGAGGAUUCAUCAGGAAGCGCUAGAAGAGAUACAUUAGGGAAGGGUAUUAUUGGAACCUUUCUCAGUCAGCCCAAUUUUCACUUCUUUCCCAUUCAGAUAUUCCUUUGCGAGUCAGAUGCACAAAACUUGAUUAUCAAACACUUAUAGCCGACCGAGUCAGCCAAAAAGGUCUUACUCGACUCGGCCAAAAAGGUAUGACUCGACUCGUAUGAAGGCUUAAUGUGCAUGAUGUCUCAUGUGAAGAAAUUUGGUCCUAAAACAUAACUUAUUUAUUUGCAGCCUAUUGGUUUUAGGAUUUAACAUGUUUUAGGUUUUGUAUAGCCCUGAAAGUGUAUGUAAGACUCAAUGUUGAGCAAGGCAUGUAGAUGUUAUGAGUAAUAAGGGACAAUAUAUAGAUGAGAAAUUAAAU
rnacentral:lncRNA from 1 species